rnacentral:misc_RNA from 1 species
GAAAGGGAAAGAUUAGGCCUUUAAUUGUUUUAAAUUCGUAGGUCUAUUUUCAGCUUUGAAAGCUCAUAUAUGGGAUAUUUUAGUGUUUUUUUGUUUAUGACUUUUAUGUUCUUGUAAGGGUUAGCGGUCAAUUUGACAUAUUUGACUAGCAAGAUUCUCCUAGAUGAAGGUGGACUUUGACCAACUGUGAGACCUCAAAUCUGGUUUAGUAACGUCUUCUCAUAACACUAUCACAAUGUUAGGAUAUUAAUGCCACAAAGGUGAGGGAAAGGAGUCGCAAUCAUAGAGAGGUAGCUAAAGUGAUUCAACUCCUUUGAUAAGAUCAAAUCGCUACAAAGAAAAAAACACCACCAAUGAAAGACACCACUCAAUCCUAGCUCGAAAAUGUGAAAAGUUAUGCAAGGCGAUCAAAGUCUAAAGAUCUUUGCCACACUUAAAAGUGAAAAGAGAAAAAGAGCAAUAAUUUAUUAAUGAAUAAACACACCAAAUUUGAAAAU